UCAACUCUAAAAACUGACAGGUUCUCUAAAAAAUUAGUUUGUUCCUUAUAUCGUCUCUUUUUGGCUCUCUUUGAGGACCUUUCUUUAAGAAUUGCAAACAGAGGACAAAGAGGAAACAUAGAGGAUCGUCAUUUUUGCCGCUUUGCUUUAAGGAACACAUAAUCGAGGUGAGACUCUACAAGGUCAUGAUGAUGAUGUUGGAGGAGAUUAGAGAAGGUAAGAGGCUAAAUGUCACCGUUGUAGGUGAGACUAUACAAGAUCAUGAUGAUGAUGUUGGAGGAGAGACUUAGGCCUUUGUUUAUUAUCUUUUAUUUUUAGUUUUAGUUUGGGACCGUAAAACUCUAAUGGGUUGUGAUAUAAGAGAUUGAUUUUUAUUAUUUUAUGCCUGUUUUUUAAACUAAAUUAGUAAUUUUAUUUCUUAAGGUUGAUUAUGUUUUAUGGACUUGUAAGACCAAAUGUAAACCAAUAUAUUUUAUUGACAA